GUGUGUAAGCGUUGUGAGGCGUUGAGCUAACCAGUACUAAUUGCCCGUGAGGCUUGACCAUAUAACACCCAAACA
rnacentral:rRNA from 1 species